rnacentral:rRNA from 1 species
AUUGAACGCUGGCGGCAUGCUUUACACAUGCAAGUCGAACGGCAGCACGAAAGAGCUUGCUCUUUUGGUGGCGAGUGGCGAACGGGUGAGUAAUGCAUCGGAACGUACCGAGUAAUGGGGGAUAACUGUCCGAAAGGAUAGCUAAUACCGCAUACGCUUGGAGAAGGAAAGUGGGGGCUCUUCGGACCUCACGUUAUUCGAGCGGCCGAUGUCUGAUUAGCUAGUUGGUGGGGUAAAGGCCUACCAAGGCGACGAUCAGUAGCGGGUCUGAGAGGAUGAUCCGCCACACUGGGACUGAGACACGGCCCAGACUCCUACGGGAGGCAGCAGUGGGGAAUUUUGGACAAUGGGCGCAAGCCUGAUCCAGCCAUGCCGCGUGUCUGAAGAAGGCCUUCGGGUUGUAAAGGACUUUUGUUAGGGAAGAAAAGGAUAGUGUUAAUACCAUUAUCUGCUGACGGUACCUAAAGAAUAAGCACCGGCUAACUACGUG